rnacentral:rRNA from 1 species
UACGUAGGGGGCAAGCGUUGUCCGGAAUCAUUGGGCGUAAAGAGCGCGUAGGCGGUCCGGUAAGUCGGUUGUGAAAACUGGGGGCUCAACCCUCAGAGGCCGACCGAUACUGUCGGGCUAGAGUCCGGAAGAGGCGAGUGGAAUCCUGGUGUAGCGGUGAAAUGCGCAGAUAUCAGGAGGAACACCAAUGGCGAAGGCAGCUCGCUGGGACGGUACUGACGCUGAGGCGCGAAAGCGUGGGGAGCAAACAGG